GCAUAGCCCCAGCAUCCCUGGAGGCCUGGUGGGAAAUUCUGGGCCCACAGCUGUGGGAUUGAGAAUCUGCAUUUUAACAAGCUCCCUUGGGGAUUCCUCUGAAGCCAGCCCCUGGCUUCUAUUCCAGAGGCUCCGUUGGUAUGUGUGGCAUUAGAGACUUAAGAGAGCCAGCAAUCACAGGUGCCAGGCAACAUUGGGGAGAGAGCUUAACUUGUUUUCACUUAACUGAUCUUCUCUGGGGGUGGGGAGGAGUCCCUGUUGCCAUGGUGGUUUCAAAGAUGAAGAAACACAGGAGUUACUGGACUGGCCAGAGCUAAAAUGCUAACCUUCAAGUACAGAUGUCUCAGGCUCUCAUCCAUAAGACAGAAUUACUCCUGGGACUGAGAGGCUCCAGCGCAUCUGUCAGAGGCAAGCCACACGUUGCUCCAGACACUGACGGCAAAGCUCCUGCCGCAGCGGGCCCAGCACUCCAUCAAUGGAAUAGGAAGAGUGGAGCUGAGGACAGCUAAGCCACCUUCUGUGUGGAGCCUCCCACAAUUCCCUCCCAUCAUGCUCCAGUCAAGCACAGGGAGUGGGUGAGGGAAAGUUCUGAAUCCAGCCAGGAUGUCACAAAUCUACAGAUGAUGGGUUCAAUGCUGCCAGCAAAGACCGCAGUGCUGUGUGGGACUCCACAUCAGCGGACUUGUUCAUGGUGAGGACUCAGGCCAGGAGAUCCUUCUGCCCCGAGCUUUGUUUCCCCAGCUCAGUUGUGAUAGGGAGUACAGAAAUAAAUAAAGGUAUCUUAUUCUGAUACUCUCAUCUAUGACUUUCAACUCCUAAAACUGUUGGAGUGUCUGAAGGCAUGUCCUUUUGUUUGUUAACAACUGGUGCCUGGUGCUUUAGGAUGGCCUCAAAAUAUAGUUUAGUUGCCAGGAAGUCAACCAUGAAACUGUGAAUUCCCCAAGCCCCCCAUCCCGCACCCCAGCCUCUUCAGAGAAGAAACAACACAGAGACCAAAGUAAUCUCGGAUGGCCAGUGGCUUCAUCAGGCAGUGGGAUGAAUUCUUCUCAUCUUAUGACUAGUACUGCUCUACACUUUCCUCUUGUCAAUGUAAGUGGCCUUGGUGACUUUGAAAAAUAAAAUGGGUAUUUUUGGAGAGCUUCCCAAUUAGAUGGAUGUAUCCAGGUACUGGGAAUGUUUUAUGUCCAGGAUGGGAGGACAUGAAAACCGUGACCACCCCCCCCCCCAUGAUAUCCUUCACCCUACAUAUAUCUCUUGCAUCUGGGGCCUCUGGAGUUGCAUCCUUUUGUGGUGUGCAAGAUAAAUAAGUGUGUUGGUUCAUCUCCAUUGUCUACGUGAUGUAAUUUGGAGUCACCUAGGAGAGAGGUGUGUCUAUAAAGGUAUUUCUGGGAGUACUGAGAAUGGAAAAGCCAUGUUCUUUGUAAGCAACAGCAUCUCAUGUUCUAGGGUACCAGACUGAAUAAAAAGGAGAAAGGAAGCUGAGGGACA